rnacentral:rRNA from 1 species
CCUACGGGCGGCAGCAGUGGGGAAUAUUGCACAAUGGGCGAGAGCCUGAUGCAGCAACGCCGCGUGAGCGAUUAAGGCCUUCGGGGCGUAAAGCUCUUUCCUCAGGGAAGAUAAUGACGGUACUGUAGGAGGAAGCCCCGGCUAACUACGUGCCAGCAGCCGCUGUACUACGUAGGGGGCUAGAGUUAUCCGGAUUUACUGGGCGUAAAGGGUGCGGAGGGUGUUUUUUAAGUCAGCGGUGAAAGGCUACGGCUCAACCGUAGUCAGCCUUUGAAACUGGGGAACUUGAGUGCAGGAGAGGAGAGUGGAAUUCCUAGUGUAGCGGUGAAAUGCGUAGAUAUUAGGCGGAACCCCAGUUGCGAAGGCGGCUCUCUGGACUGUAACUGACACUGAGGCACGAAAGCGUGGGGAGCAAACAGGAUUAGAUACCCGUGUAGUC